rnacentral:tRNA from 1 species
ACUCAGUUGGUAAAGUACAAAGCUCUUAACCUUGUGGACAUGGGUUCAAUCCCCAU